GACGAAGGGGGCUAGCGUUGUUCGGAAUUACUGGGCGUAAAGCGCGCGUAGGCGGUUUUCCAAGUCAGGAGUGAAAGCCCCAAGCUUAACUUGGGAAGUGCUUUUGAUACUGCAGAGCUUGAAUGUGGGAGAGGAUCGUGGAAUUCCAGGUGUAGUGGUGAAAUACGUAGAUAUCUGGAGGAACACCGGUGGCGAAGGCGGCGAUCUGGCCCAACAUUGACACUGAGACCCGAAAGCGUGGGUAGCAAACAGG
rnacentral:rRNA from 1 species